rnacentral:misc_RNA from 1 species
UUUUGUCUUGAAUGCGGUUUUCCAUUCAUCCCCCUCUUUCAUUCUAAUUUGAUGGUAACCGUUUUUGAAUUCAAUCUUUGUAAACACACAUGCACCAAACAACUCAUCAAGCAUAUCAUCCAAUCGAGGAAUGGGAUGUCGAUACUUUACCGUGAUUUUGUUGAUAGCAUGACAAUCUACACACAUUCUGAAUGUCCCAUUCUUCUUUGGUACAAGGAGCACUGG